rnacentral:misc_RNA from 1 species
GAUGAAGAACGUAGCGAAAUGCGAUAAGUAAUGUGAAUUGCAGAGUUCAGUGAAUCAUUGAAUCUUUGAACGCACCUUGCGCCUUUUGGUAUUCCGAAAGGCACACCUGUUUGAGCGUCAUGAAUACCUCAAUCUCCAUCUUUUCUUCGGAUUGAUGGGUGACUUGGAUGUUGAGCCCUGCUGGUAUGCUAUAUCAGCUGGCUUUAAACUUAUUAGCCGGCUCUGUACUGGAUCGGUUUGACUCGACGUGAUAAUAUUAUCGUUGAGGAUGCAUGUCUCAUGCAGCCGGAAAGUAUCAAAGCAGCUUCUAGCUUGCCUUUAGUGCACUUUUACAUUUUAGACCUCAGAUCAGGUGGGACUACCCGCUGAACUUAAGCAUAUCAAUAAGCGGAGGA